CAUGUUAUCAACAUCAUUCAACAGAAAAAACAGGCUAAGGUAAUGUCUUCAGAUAUAACAAAAAGUCAAAAACAAGUAUAAACCUGAUAACUAAUCAAAUGAAUAAAAGAAUUUAAAUUUCUAUUUAAUAAGUGCACAAAAGAGGGACGAAAGAUACCAAAGGGACAGUCAAACUCAUAAAUCCAAAACAAACUGACAACGCCAUGGCUAAAAAUGAAAAAGACAAACAGAAAAACAAUAGUACACACG
rnacentral:lncRNA from 1 species